UCUCCUGUGACGUGAGGUUUUAAAGAAGAGCUCUGGCUACGUGACUUAAGGCCAGCAGCAUAUAGUACCAAGGAAACCUGAAAAGAAGAUAAAAAACAGACAUUAUAAGCAGGUGCAUGGAUAAUAAGAACCAUAUACAAUUUGAAUAAAGAUGCAUAUAACAAUGAGCAAUCAUCUUUUGCUUUCAGUUUUGAAAAUGAUGUCUUGCACAUCAAUAAUGAUAUCAUUUUCAGCUUUCUACAGUUUGAGUUAAAGAAAUUGGAUCCUUGUUGGGCUUUCUCCAGAUAAAUACAAUAAUAGGAAAAGAACUCCAUAGAAUCGCACAGAAGUAUGUCUUUUCUGCAUUCUGAAUGUUCCUUAAAUUGUAACCUAAACAAUGGCAGUAAGAUUGUUAGGUAUUCCUAAUAUGUAUUCAUUUUCUGUGCCAUAAUUUACAUACCAGUUCGGAAAGAUGGAAGAUCUUAAGUGCCUAGGAAAUAUGCUUCAUAGCCUCCUGCUAUGAGAUUAACAAGCAUCAAAACUAUCUAAAGAUAUGAAUCUACUUCAAGCUUAUAAUAGUCUACUCUUCCUAGUGGAGUGAACUGAACUUGCCCAUAAGCUAAAUGGAUUGCAUGUGAACUGAAUUGAUACAAAUGGUUGUACAACCUAAAGCAGCACCACCAAGCAUCAUUCAGAAGAUACAGACUCCAAUAUAUGUUAGAUGAAUCAAAAAGUCUCUCGAAUUAAAUAUAAAUAAAGAAUAUUUUAGCAACAAAAGAGAUAAUUUAUAGAAUAAUGCACCUAGUUUGUCCACAAACUUUUUAAAGAAACUGAAUUUGAGUUUCACAAAUGUCUAGAAAGAACUUUAGACUUGCUACAACAGAAACAAGCAUCAAACUCAUAUUACACGCUUGGAUAUAAAAGCAUAACAAUCUUUCUACAAUAUGCACCCCGACCAUUGAAUUUACUCCUAACAAAAAGACUGUCGAAAAACCAAAGGAAACCAACAAACGUGUGAUGACACAUCUGCCAGAAUAUAUGAUCCUGCCACAAAAACAUAUCACCUUGCAUACAAGAACAGAUCUGCCUAGAGGUGGUUAGAGUUAGACAACCACCAUCCAAACAAAUCCUGACUGCUGUUUACAUACUUGCAUAUGAAGGAAUCUGAUAUUGAGAAAGAUGAAACCACACAUGUAUGUGUUGCACCCCCAGUAAUGUAAGAAUCAAUAUACAAGCUUAGUUUUCAGUAUAACUAAUAAAUGCAUAAGAAUAAUACAUAUGCUAGAAAGAAAGACAUGACAGAAAAUUGAUGAGAGUUGUGCAAAUACUGACAAUUAAUGAUCAUCAGAGUGUCAAUGUCAAGUACCCAAACCAAUAAGUUCUAAAGUACAACAAACAUUCCUAUGAAAAUGAACUUACAAAGAGGCUGAAUAUAAAAGUUGCUGAUAGCAACUCAAGUCCUUUGUCUGCUAUGACCUACAAACAUAUAUGAAAAAUUGGAUCAAUAAUUUCACUAAUUAUGCAUUAUGCAAUAUAAAUUAAUAAAUUACAACAGCAUUAUAAGAGCACUAAAAUGUUGACUAUUAGAUGCUUGCAAAUUGAUAUUUUUACAGUAUCUAAAAUUGAAGAUUACUGACAAUUAUAUGAUCAAUAUUUAUAAUAUGGCAUUGUCUCUAAGGAACACAGAGAUGAUACAUGUUGUAAAAAUUAUCUAAAAAUAAAAUAAAUAUGAUAGGCUACAAGUUUUUCUUAAUUGUACUUCAAAGAAUUUGAUAUAAUUGGACUUUGCUUGGAAACAAGUUAAUUGACCAAAAUACUACAAACAUAGAUAACCAGUGUCAUGGAGAACUAACCCAUCACAAGGCAGUUUAGGUGAUCAGCUAUAACAAAUGAAAAUUUCACUCAGCACAAAAUAAAUCAUAAUGUAAUAGAAAAAAUGACAUGAUGAGAAAAAGCUGUUAGCAAAAAAAAAUGACAAGUCCAUCUCUGCUCCUGAACAUAAACCAAAUGAACAAAUUUUUGGAAGUCAAAAGAAAGGCUGUGGUUCAUAAAUGGUGGAAUGCUUAGAAACAAUAAGCAUGAAUAUCUAAAACAAGGAGGGUCAGAAAAAAGCAGAACCAGAAAAUUUAUCAACAGACUAAGAUUGUAUUUACAAUUAGUUCAUCUAUGUAACUUACACUUACCAGACAUGGAAGCCAAAAUUUCACCACAGUGUGAUUCCAUGACAAAAUUUGGGAUGAACCUCAGCUGAAAGGUCAGUUUUACCCAAACAAAGGUGAUAUUUUCACAUUCCAUCCUAUUCCUUUGCUAGAAUUUUUUAUUUGUAUCAGAAGAAAUUGGAGUUCAAAACUGACAAAGUCAACUAACGACAAAGAACUCCAAGCUACUUUAACAAAUCAAUUGCUUCUUCUGGCAAAAGUAGGCAAUUGACUACUAGGAAGCACUGAACUAAGUAUUCAAUUAUUAAAUAUAUUGAUAAAAUAGAUGUUAUAUUUUCUGUUUGUCUAUAAAAUAUUUCCAGAAUUUAAUAAUAUACUUGCAGAUCAAAGCAUGUGUAAGCUUGGACUUCCUUCUAACUUAUAAGAAUGUCCCAAAAAAAUCUGAUAAUAAACAAAUAGUAUUUGUGCCGAUACAAUUCACAAGGAGCUAAAAGCAAGAGAGUUGAGAAAUGCCCUGACAAAAAUAAGCAGAAAAACAAGAUCAUCCAUGUUUAUAUAAGUUGUACGUGAUUGAGCAUGUAAACCAUUGUGUGUAUAAGAGUAUAGAUAAAUACAGUUAAAAAAUGCAUACCACGGCAGACAUCAACUUCAUGUAAAUACCAAUCUCUAGAAGUGCCACUAACAGCAAAAGUGAUGCCAAACCUGAAAGGGAAGAAAGAGCAAGGAAAAAAAAAAUCUCAGAACCAUUGUCACAAUGUUGAAAAAUGGUACAUUGCAAGAUAUAUAACCAUAAGGAAAAGAAUCAAUAAAGCAUAGAAGACAUGAAUGGUCCAGAUAUUUCAAUUCCUACAUAUGUUUUAUAGGCACAAUUAAGGUGCUAUCUAUACUAACUUCAUGGGUCUCACUCUUUUUUCUUCCGUGCAUUUUAAUAUGUGUAUAACUUCCCAACCAACAACUUGCCAAAUUUUGAUAGAUCUGCUGGGAUCCACCAUUGUCCUAUGUUGAAAUCUUCCACACUUUCUCAAUCCUCCGCUCCAGAAUGGUGUAUACAUUCGACACAGUGAUCCCAAAGGAAAAACAGUUUGUUAAAACAAUUGGGGACAAGGAACCUAAAUUUUGGUUAAAGAUUAUAUCUAUUAUGCAGUAAUAAAUGGAGCAAUUCAUUAUCGUUAAACAAACUUACAGGUACACUCUGGACAAACGUGGUUCUUGCUAUCAAACAUAACAUCAAAGUAUUUUAACUUAGGUCACCUUCAGCCACAAACCAAGCUUUUGAUUAUUCAAAGGAAAAAAAAUCAAUAUUUCUCCAGGAAACACUCCCUUGAUAUUACAUCUAAGUCAUCUGACGAAGCUCAGUUCGUGCUGAACUUGCAAACAGUCUUAGAUACAAGUCUUUACAAUUACUGCAUCAUUUUAAACUCAUGUCACAUUUUCAGCAUUCACAAACCCAGCAGAUGCGAUAUGACAUUUCCACAAACACUUGUAGGCCUUGCGUUCCUCGGAAGAGAUCCCAGGUGCAUUAUGCAUUCAUUUAUUGCAAAAAAGCCAUUCUUUAAACAGAAGCGAUGCAACAAGACAAUCAAGAAGACAACAUAAUCAAGUGUUCUAUCAAGAGAACGCUCUCGGGUAUACAGUAAGCGGAGGAUGGGUGGAGGAUCGGCGGACCGUUGCAUCGGUAAUGGAGACGUGAGCCGUCUGAUAGAAGGGCGCCGGGGACGAUCUUUCCCGGAAGCACGGAUCCGGCGACAGCCAAAUACCCCAAAUAGCACGAAAGAAGAACGACCUAACAAGAAGAAAGAGAUUAUAUGCGCAAUCACAACUCUACAUAAAGAUGGCAGCAAGACCAGCAGGCCUUGGGCGUCGCUUCAUGCACUUACGG
rnacentral:lncRNA from 1 species